rnacentral:lncRNA from 1 species
CUCCAACACAAUUAUUUGUUGCAUCAAAUCUCCAAUGUUGGAUAAUAGAAUAGACGACCUGUCACUAUAAAUUAUUCGAGUUUCACACAGACACAUGCCCUGAAGCUUGAUCUUAUUGUCUCACGAGAAGAACGCUACGACAACGGAACGAAAUGCUCGCAGUGUCCUAUUAAAGGGAGAUUUCCGCGUCAACUGGGAGAGUGAUUUCUGCGUCCUCAGGACCACGACGAACGUAGAAGAGGAAACCACAGAUUUCAACCGCGACGACAACUAUGCCGACGAUGACCCAUCCAGGAGCAUCCCACCAUGAAAUGUUCUUGUCGUCGGACGAGACCGAAUUCGGGACAAAUGAAGAGGGGAAGCACGGGCAACCUGAACAAUUCUGUGGACAGUUAUAGUUCUCCAUCAAGAAAGUCC